GACGAACGCUGGCGGCGUGCCUAAUACAUGCAAGUUGAGCGAUGAAGAUUGGUGCUUGCACCAAUUUGAAGAGCAGCGAACGGGUGAGUAACGCGUGGGGAAUCUGCCUUUGAGCGGGGGACAACAUUUGGAAACGAAUGCUAAUACCGCAUAACAACUUUAAACAUAAGUUUUAAGUUUGAAAGAUGCAAUUGCAUCACUCAAAGAUGAUCCCGCGUUGUAUUAGCUAGUUGGUGAGGUAAAGGCUCACCAAGGCGAUGAUACAUAGCCGACCUGAGAGGGUGAUCGGCCACAUUGGGACUGAGACACGGCCCAAACUCCUACGGGAGGCAGCAGUAGGGAAUCUUCGGCGAUGGACGAAAGUCUGAACGAGCAACGCCGCGUGAGUGAAGAAGGUUUUCGGAUCGUAAAACUCUGUUGGUAGAGAAGAACGUUGGUGAGAGUGGAAAGCUCAUCAAGUGACGGUAACUACCCAGAAAGGGACGGCUAACUACGUG
rnacentral:rRNA from 1 species